rnacentral:tRNA from 1 species
UCCGAUAUGGUGUAGUGGCUAACAUUAUCGCCUCUCACGCGAUAGCCCGGGGUUCGAUUCCCCGUGUCAGAA